GGGUUUUUAUUAAAAGCCACUAGUUUAUCAAGAUUAGCCUCGAUUUAAUAGUCUCAUAUAAAUCGAUACACAGUGAUACACAGGAAGUUAGAGAUGACGGCCAACACAUAGAGUACGUGGUAUUUUCCUUUUUCUUGACUAUGGCUUUUCGUUUACAAUUCCAACACUAGGCCUUAAACAAAAAUCAUAUCAAUAGGCAAAAGAAAAUUAGCACAAUUCUAGGCCUCAAACAAAAUAUCAUAACUUAUAUAGGUAUAUAAAACUAAAACAUAACUUUAACACUGACUAACGGAGUAUAAAUAAACAAUAUCACAAAAAAAACAUAUAUGAAAACAAGUUAAUCAAUUAUUCUAACUGUUGAGUAGCGAACCACAGGUGCAAAUGUUUCAUUGUAGUCAAUUCCGUAUCUUUGUGUAUAACCCUUCGCCACCAGACGAGCUUUAUACUUUAACAAUUUUCCAUUUAGGUCUCUCUUUUUGCUGAAUAUCCAUUUACAUUUUACUGGUUUUUGCCCUGAAGGCAGAUCAACCAGUGUCCAGCAUUCAUUAACUAUGAAAGAGUUAUACUCAUCUUGUAUAGCUUCCUUCCAAUGUUUAGACUCGCAGCCACCCAGAGCCUCUUCUAUUGUCUUCGGUAUAUCUUCGUCUUCUGUAACCGCUGUAAACCCAGCAUACCCAUCCGUAUCAGCA